UCUGUAAUUUUGUGCAGUAUUGGUUUUCAUUUUAAUACAUGUAUAUAUUUCAGCUCCUACUAUCAGUACAAGUUCUUCUACAACUGAGUCUCAAACGGCAAAACCUACAACAUCUCCUGCCAGUACAAGCUCUACUACAACUGAGACAGCAGAACCUACAAGUAAGCAAUAUAUAUAUAUGAAGAGAUUAGAUGCAAGAACCUCUAAAUGCCAUCUGAAAUUUUCUUCUAAAAUGAACAUUUUUAUCAGGCUCCUGUAUGUGGGUUCAGUAAUUUCACUUUUAUGGCAAAGGAUAAGUCCUUUUCAUGGUUGCUGAAGUG
rnacentral:lncRNA from 1 species